GACGAGUGGUCCAAGCGUUAUCCGGAUUUACUGGGCGUAAAGUGUGCGUAGGCGGUCAAAUAAGUUUUCGGUCAAAUCUUUGGGCUCAACCCAAAGACUGCCGAAAAAACUAUUUGGCUAGAGGCCGGGAGAGGCAAGCGGAACUGCCGGUGUAGGGGUAAAAUCCGUUGAUAUCGGCAGGAACACCGAAAGCGAAGGCAGCUUGCUAGAACGGUCCUGACGCUGAGGCACGAAAGCGUGGGGAGCAAAAAGG
rnacentral:rRNA from 1 species